rnacentral:rRNA from 1 species
UGCCAGCCGCCGCGGUAAUACGGAGGGAGCGAGCGUUAAUCGGAAUUACUGGGCGUAAAGCGCACGUAGGUGGCUUGGUAAGUCGGAUGUGAAAGCCCUGGGCUCAACCUGGGAAUUGCAUUCGAUACUGCUUAGCUAGAGUAUGAGAGAGGGUAGUGGAAUUCCGGGUGUAGCGGUGAAAUGCGUAGAUAUCGGGAGGAACACCAGUGGCGAAGGCGGCUACCUGGACCGAUACUGACGCUGAGACGCGAAAGCGUGGGUAGCAAACGGGAUUAGAUA